CUUCGGGGUACUCGAGCGGCGAACGGGUGAGUAACACGUGAGUAACCUGCCCCUGACUCUGGGAUAAGCCUGGGAAACCGGGUCUAAUACCGGAUAUGACCCUUUCUCGCAUGGUCUGGGGGUGGAAAGUUUUUUCGGUUGGGGAUGGGCUCGCGGCCUAUCAGCUUGUUGGUGGGGUGAUGGCCUACCAAGGCGACGACGGGUAGCCGGCCUGAGAGGGCGACCGGCCACACUGGGACUGAGACACGGCCCAGACUCCUACGGGAGGCAGCAGUGGGGAAUAUUGCGCAAUGGGCGGAAGCCUGACGCAGCGACGCCGCGUGGGGGAUGACGGCCUUCGGGUUGUAAACCUCUUUCAGCAGGGACGAAGUUGACGUGUACCUGUAGAAGAAGCGCCGGCUAACUACGUGCCAGCAGCCGCGGUAAUACGUAGGGCGCGAGCGUUGUCCGGAAUUAUUGGGCGUAAAGAGCUCGUAGGU
rnacentral:rRNA from 1 species